GUGAGGAAUAUUGCGCAAUGGAGGCAACUCUGACGCAGCCAUGCCGCGUGCAGGAAGAAGGCGCUACGCGUUGUAAACUGCUUUUAACCGGGAAGAAACCCCAGGACGUGUCCUGGGUUGACGGUACCGGAGGAAUAAGCACCGGCUAACUUCGUGCCAGCAGCCGCGGUAAUACGGAGGGUGCAAGCGUUAUCCGGAUUCAUUGGGUUUAAAGGGUGCGUAGGCGGAGCGUUAAGUCAGUGGUGAAAUCCUGCAGCUUAACUGUAGACUUGCCAUUGAUACUGGCGCUCUUGAGUGCGCUUGAAGUGGGCGGAAUGUGCCGUGUAGCGGUGAAAUGCUUAGAUAUGGCACAGAACACCAAUUGCGAAGGCAGCUCACUAAGGCGAUACUGACGCUGAGGCACGAAAGCGUGGGGAUCGAACAGGAUUAGAAACCCCGGUAGUCC
rnacentral:rRNA from 1 species